AUGCGGUAUGACGGUACCCUUUCGAAUAAGAGGUUGCUAACUCUGUGCCAGCAGCAGCGGUAAUACAGAGACCUCGAGCGUUAUCCGGAUUUACUGGGCGUAAAGCGUCUGUAGGGGGUUUGUUAAGUUCCAAGUAAAAUCUUAAGGCUCAACUUUAAGUUCGCUUGGAAAACUAAUAAACUGGAGUCCAGCAGAGGUGCAUGGAACUUGCGGUGUAGGAGUGAAAUCCGUUGAUAUCGCAAAGGAACACCAAAGGCGAAGGCAUUGCACUGGGCUGGUACUUGACCCUGAGAGACGAAAGCGUGGGGAGCAAAACGGAUUAGAUACCCGUGUAGUCCACGCCGUAAACGAUGGAUACUAGAUGUUCGGGGAUUCGACCCCCUGGGUGUCACAGCUAACGCGUUAAGUAUCCCGCCUGGGAAGUACGGCCGCAAGGCUAAAACUCAAAGGAAUAGACGGGGAUCCGCACAAGCGGUGGAGCGUCUGGUUUAAUUUGAUAGUAAGCAAUGGACCUCACCAAGGUUUGACAUCCUAUGACAACCCUGGAAACAGGGCUUCCUUCGGGCAUAGUGACAGGUGCUGCAUGGUCGUCGUCAGUUCGUGCCGUGAGGUGUUCCGUUAAGUCGGGAAACGAACGAAACCCUCGUCGCAUGUUACAAAUUUCAUGCGAGACUGCCCGGGUCAACCGGGAGGAAGGCGGGGAUGACGUCAGAUCAGCAUGGCCCUUAUA
rnacentral:rRNA from 1 species